GGAGGUAGUGACAAUAAAUCACAAUGCGGAACUUCUGUUUUGCAAUUGGAUUGAGAACAACGCACAACACUUAUCGAUAAACAAUUGGAGGGCAAGUCUGGUGCCAGCAGCCGCGGUAAUUCCAGCUCCAAUAGCGUAUAUUAACGUUGUUGCAGUUAAAAAGCUCGUAGUUGAAGUGAAGUGUGAAUCUCUUGGAUUUUCGUUAGAAUUUCCUUUAGCUUCAUACUCUUUCCAAAUAGUUUGCAUGGGUAUUUACUUAUCUGUGUAUUGCAUUUGGUCAUUUACUGUGAGAAAAUUAGAGUGUUCAAAGCAUACGUUUGUUUGAAUACAUUAGCAUGGAAUAAUUCGAAAAGGCUUUCAUGUUCGAUUUGAUUGGUUUGUUCGUGAAGGCAAGAUUAAAAGGGACAGUUGGGGGUAUUCAUAUUCAAUAGUCAGAGGUGAAAUUCUCGGAUUUAUGGAAGAUGAACAAGUGCGAAAGCA
rnacentral:rRNA from 2 species